GGGUUGUGAGGUUAAGCGACUAAGCGUACACGGUGGAUGCCCUGGCAGUCAGAGGCGAUGAAGGACGUGCUAAUCUGCGAAAAGCGUCGGUAAGGUGAUAUGAACCGUUAUAACCGGCGAUGUCCGAAUGGGGAAACCCAGUGUGAUUCGUCACACUAUCGUUAACUGAAUACAUAGGUUAACGAGGCGAACCGGGGGAACUGAAACAUCUAAGUACCCCGAGGAAAAGA
rnacentral:rRNA from 3 species